AGUGAACGCUGGCGGUAGGCCUAACACAUGCAAGUCGAACGGCAGCACAGUAAGAGCUUGCUCUUACGGGUGGCGAGUGGCGGACGGGUGAGGAAUACAUCGGAAUCUAUUUUUUCGUGGGGGAUAACGUAGGGAAACUUACGCUAAUACCGCAUACGACCUACGGGUGAAAGCAGGGGAUCUUCGGACCUUGCGCGAUUGAAUGAGCCGAUGUCGGAUUAGCUAGUUGGCGGGGUAAAGGCCCACCAAGGCGACGAUCCGUAGCUGGUCUGAGAGGAUGAUCAGCCACACUGGAACUGAGACACGGUCCAGACUCCUACGGGAGGCAGCAGUGGGGAAUAUUGGACAAUGGGCGCAAGCCUGAUCCAGCCAUACCGCGUGGGUGAAGAAGGCCUUCGGGUUGUAAAGCCCUUUUGUUGGGAAAGAAAAGCAGCAGGUUAAUACCCCGCUGUUCUGACGGUACCCAAAGAAUAAGCACCGGCUAACUUCGU
rnacentral:rRNA from 1 species